rnacentral:piRNA from 1 species
ACACCGCAGUUUAAAGAAAGUGGUGGU